GCGACUGUUUAAUAAAAACACAGGACUUUGCAAAAUAUUAUUAUGAUGUAUAAGGUCUGACGCCUGCCCGGUGAUGAGUAAUGAAUGAAAAGAGUGUUAUAAUGCUUGGAUUAUAAGUCUCAUUAAACGGCGGCUGUAACCCUGACGGUCCUAAGGUAGCGAAAUUCCUUGUCAAUUAAGUAUUGACCCGCAUGAAUGGCGUAACGACUUCCCCACUGUCUCCAAAAUUGAUCCAGUGAAAUUGCAUUUUACGUGAAGAUGCGUAAUAUUUAUGGCGGGACGGAAAGACCCUGUGCACCUUUACUAUAACUUUACAUUGAAGAAAGUGAAUUCGUAUAAAGAAUAAUUCGGAGUUUAUGAUCCAUUAAUGUUUCAUUCUUUGGGGAGACGUUAGUGAGAUAUGAAUUAUGAAAUUAUUAUUUUUCUAAUUUUUAAGAAAGACAGUGUAUGGUGGGUAGUUUGGCUGGGGCGGCUGCCUCCGAAAGAGUAACAGAGGCGCACAAAGGUAAUUUCAAUCUAGUUUUUACUAGAAAAAGGAGUGUAAUGGCAUAAAAUUGCUUAACUGUUAGAUUUACAUAUCGAACAGAGACAUAGUGUCGGUCAUAGUGAUCCGGUAACGCAGAAUGGAAUGGUUAUCGAUUAACGGAUAAAAGGUACGCCAGGGAUAACAGGCUAAUUGUCCUUGAGAGGCCAUAUCGACGGGAUAGUUUGGCACCUCGAUGUCGACUUAUCAGAUCCUGGUGUAGUAGGGGAUACCAAGGGUUCGGCUGUUCGCCGAUUAAAGUGGUACAUGAGUUGGGUUUAGAACGUCGUGAGACAGUUUGGUCCCUAUCUACCAUAAAUGAAAGAAAAUUGUUUAAAGCGGACUUUCGUACGAGAGGAGCAAGAAGGGAAGACCUAUUGUGAAUUUGUUGUUUUUACCAAAAGCAUGGCAAAGAAGCUACGUCUUAUUUUUAGAACUACUGAAUACAUUUUAAGUGGGAAAAUUAUUUCAAAAGCAUUUUCUAAACCAAGUUGAAGAUU
rnacentral:rRNA from 16 species